rnacentral:rRNA from 1 species
GAUGAACGCUAGCUACAGGCUUAACACAUGCAAGUCGAGGGGUCUACUUCGGUAGACGACCGGCGCACGGGUGAGUAACGCGUAUCCAACCUGCCCUUUUCAUUGGGAUAGCCUUUCGAAAGAGAGAUUAAUACCGAAUAACAUAGUUUGAUUGCCUGAUUAUACUAUGAAAGCUCCGGCGGAGAAGGAUGGGGAUGCGUUCCAUUAGGUAGUAGGCGGGGUAACGGCCCACCUAGCCUACGAUGGAUAGGGGUUCUGAGAGGAAGGUCCCCCACACUGGAACUGAGACACGGUCCAGACUCCUACGGGAGGCAGCAGUGAGGAAUAUUGGUCAAUGGUCUGACGACUGAACCAGCCAUGCCGCGUGAAGGUCACGGCCCUAUGGGUCUUAAACUUCUUUUGCAAGGGAGCAAUAAGCCUCACGUGUGGGGCGAUGAGAGUACCUCGCGAAUAAGCAUCGGCUAACUCCGUG